rnacentral:rRNA from 1 species
GACAAACGCUGGCGGCGUACCUAAGACAUGCAAGUCGAACGGGGCUCACCGCUUCGGCGGGGAGUCGAGUGGCGGACGGGUGAGUAACGCGUAGGAACCUGUCGAGCAGUGGGGGAGUAACGCUGGGAAACCGGCGCUAAUACCGCAUGUGAUCUGGAGACCGAAGAAAGCAGCAAUGCGCUGUUUGAGGGGCCUGCGUCCGAUUAGCUUGUUGGUGGGGUAAGGGCCUACCAAGGCANCGAUCGGUAGCUGGUCUGAGAGGAUGGUCAGCCACACUGGGACUGAGACACGGCCCAGACUCCUACGGGAGGCAGCAGUUAGGAAAUUUUUCCAAUGGGGAAACCCUGAGAGAGUAACGCCGCGUGGAGGAUGACGGCCUUCGGUUG